ACGGCUCAGUAACACGUGGCUAAUCUGCCCUUAGGACAAGAACAACCCCGGGAAACUGGGGCUAAUUCUUGAUCGGUGAAGAACACUGGAAUGUGUCUUCACUUAAAAGGCUUUACGUUAUCCUCGUGAGGUUGCCUAAGGAUGAGGCCGCGACCGAUCAGGUUGUUGGUGAGGUAAUGGCUCACCAAGCCUUUUACCGGUGCGGGCCGUGAAAGCGGGAGCCCGGAGAUGGGCACUGAAACAAGGGCCCAGGCCCUACGGGGCGCACCAGUCGCAAAAACUUUGCAAUAAGCAAAAGCUUGACAGGGCUAUCCCGAGUGCCUUCCGCUGAGGAAGGCUUUUACCCAGUCUAGAACGCUGGGGGAAUAAGGAGAGGGCAAGUCUGGUGUCAGCCGCCGCGGGUAAUACCAGCUCUUCGAGUGGUGUGGAUGUUUAUUGGGCCUAAAGCAUCCGUAGCUGGCUAAGUUAGUCCCUUGUUAAAUCCAGUGAAUUAAUCAUUGGAUAGCGGGGGAUACUGCUUGGCUAGGGGACGAGAGAGGCAGACGGUAUUUUCGGGGUAGGGGUGAAAUCCUAUAAUCCCGGGAAGACCACCAGUGGCGAAGGCUGUCUGCUAGAACGCGCCCGACGGUGAGGGAUGAAAGCUGGGGGAGCGAACCGGAUUAGAUACCCGGGUAGUCCCAGCUGUAAACGAUGCAGGCUAGGUGUUUGGACGGCCACGUGCCGUUCUAGUGCCGCAGGGAAGCUGUUAAGCCUGCCGCCUGGGGAGUACGAUCGCAAGAUUGAAACUUAAAGGAAUUGGCGGGGGAG
rnacentral:rRNA from 1 species